GACGAACGCUGGCGGCGUGCUUAACACAUGCAAGUCGAACGAUGAACCCGGAGCUUGCUCCGGCGGAUUAGUGGCGAACGGGUGAGUAACACGUGAGUAACCUGCCCUUGGCUCUGGGAUAACUGCUAGAAAUGGUAGCUAAUACCGGAUACGACCCUCGGUGGCAUCACCAAGGGGUGGAAAGAAUUUCGGUCAAGGAUGGACUCGCGGCCUAUCAGCUAGUUGGUGAGGUAACGGCUCACCAAGGCGACGACGGGUAGCCGGCCUGAGAGGGGGACCGGCCACACUGGGACUGGGACACGGCCCAGACUCCUACGGGAGGCAGCAGUGGGGAAUAUUGCACAAUGGGCGCAAGCCUGAUGCAGCAACGCCGCGUGAGGGAUGACGGCCUUCGGGUUGUAAACCUCUUUUAGUAGGGAAGAAGCGAAAGUGACGGUACCUGCAGAAAAAGCACCGGCUAACUACGUGCCAGCCGCCGCGGUAA
rnacentral:rRNA from 1 species